rnacentral:rRNA from 1 species
AUUGAACGCUGGCGGCAUGCUUUACACAUGCAAGUCGAACGGUAACAGGCCGCAAGGUGCUGACGAGUGGCGAACGGGUGAGUAAUGCAUCGGAACGUGCCCAGUCGUGGGGGAUAACGCAGCGAAAGCUGCGCUAAUACCGCAUACGAUCUAUGGAUGAAAGCGGGGGACCGUAAGGGCCGCCCGCUAUGGGAGCGGCCGAUGUCCGAUUAGCUAGUUGGUGGGGUAAAGGCUUACCAAGGCGACGAUCGGUAGCUGGUCUGAGAGGAUGAUCAGCCACACUGGGACUGAGACACGGCCCAGACUCCUACGGGAGGCAGCAGUGGGGAAUUUUGGACAAUGGGGGCAACCCUGAUCCAGCCAUGCCGCGUGCGGGAAGAAGGCCUUCGGGUUGUAAACCGCUUUUGUCCGGGAAGAAAUGACAUCCCCUAAUACGGGGUGUUCCUGACGGUACCGGAAGAAUAAGCACCGGCUAACUACGUGCCAGCAGCCGCGGUAACAC